CUUGACCAAUUAUAAGAGGUCCAGCCUGCCCAGUGACUCUGUUCAACGGCCGCGGUAUCCUAACCGUGCGAAGGUAGCGUAAUCACUUGUUCUUUAAAUAAGGACUAGUAUGAACGGCACCACGAGGGUUAUACUGUCUCCUUUUUCUAAUCAGUGAAAUUGAUCUUCCCGUGAAGAAGCGGAAAUAUUUUUAUAAGACGAGAAGACCCUAUGGAGCUUUAAACAAACUAUAUUUGCCUAACCAUAUUAAUAAUUUCAGAAAAAACAUUUAUUCUAGCAUAAUUCUAGGGAGUUUUGGGUUGGGGUGACCGCGGAGAAAAACAUAUCCUCCGCGAUGAAUAAGAAGCUUUCUUUAGCCAAAAGUUACGACUUUAAGCAUCAACAUAUUGACUUUUUGACCCAAUUAAUUGAUCAACGAAC
rnacentral:rRNA from 1 species